rnacentral:RNase_P_RNA from 1 species
UAAAAUAGGUAACCGCUGCGUAUCAUGAGUACGUAGAGGAAAGUCCAUGCUCGCAUCAUCUGUGAUGAUGAUAGUGAUUGAGCUAAACGAAACCAUAAGUUUAGGCACUAGCAAUAGUGACGGCGAGAACAACACCUAAGGCAGCUUGCUGCUAGGGUCGCGUUUCGUAAUGUGCCACAGUGACGUAGUCAUACUGGAAACGGUAUGAGUGGAACGAGGUAAACCCCUCAAGCGAGAAACCCAAAUUUGGUAGGGGAACUCUCUACGGCGAACCCAAGCUACAGAGAGACUCAGUAAUGAGUAGAUAAAUGGUUACCACCCGGAAGGGACAGAACAUGGCUUAUUUUU